CUAUUUAAUAAUAUAACGGUACAUAUAUAUAAUAUAUUCAGAAGUCUUGGGCAGGCAAAGCCAUCCAGCUUUCCUUCACAUUGAAACUACUACUCUAUUUGGUUCACCAACUGCCAACAAACACAAUUUUGCCACAAAGUCCUCAAAUUAAUUAUAUAUGUUUAUUAUAGUUUUCUUAUUAUUUAUUUUCCUUUCUCAUUUAGGAGAGUAGAAGUUUUUGUUGUAGCUAGUUAUAAUUAGAUAUUAUGUAGUAGCUAAUAUUGGUAUGGUAAGAGAUGUACCAACCAGUGUCACAAGAAGAAGCACAAAAUGAAUAAUUUUGUCUUAGAAGAGAAGUUUGGGGUGAAGAUAUAUUGAAGAUGUGUAUUAUAGGCCCAAAUGUUAUGUUUGUUGGUGAUAAGUUGGGACCAGCAUAAGCAUAUGUAAUGUAACCCAAUUUUGGGUCCAAUAUCAAUUUCAUCCAAUUACCAAACUUGAUCGAUCGUUGCUUUUGCUACUCCUCUUUUAUGCUCUUUUGUUGCGUAAACAACAAAGGAAGUUCAAAAUGUGACCGAAUCAUCCUGGUAUUUUUCUUUACAACACAACUAGAUCAGACUGUUCAUAAGUAAUUAGGUUGUGGCUGUCACUUUGAUGCAAUAGGAGAUUGGAAUUUGGUAACUAAUACUUAUGAAAAAGGUGUAAUACCACCCAGUAUGGCCCUGAGUUUGAGUGGUAAGACCUUAUGCAAAAUAUACUAUUUUUAAAUUUGUGUACAUAAAAUGAUAAUUUUCAAAUUUUUGGGGCUUUUGCGCAUGUAAGAAUGUGACAUUUUUCCGAAUUUAACGGUCUCUUUUUAUGAUUCUAGGCACAACUCAAGAACUAGGUCUGAUCAGUAUUACUAAUAUAUUUUUAUGAUCACAAUAUUAAAGAUAAGAUAUAUAUAUAUGUUUACUUAGCUAAGAUAAUGUACUCAAUCGAAACAUUUGAGAUAAUUAAUCCUAUAUAAUAUACCAAAAAUAAAAUUUAUAUUUGUUUAAACAAAAUUUAUAUUUUGUAAGAUUCUAUGUAUAUUUAAUUUUUAUACGUAUAUUUGUUUAAAUAAAUUUAUAUUUUGUAAGAUUCUAUUUUUCACAGCGAAUUGAAAGUGGUAUACACGUAUAAUAAUUUCCCAAGAAACAUAUUUACUAAAAUAAAAUGUAAAAUAAUUAGGUGGUUCAUUUUAAAUGAAAAGAGUAUUAUUAGUGAGCACGGGUAACUAGUAUAUUUUAUAAGAGGCACACUAUAAUUAAGUAAUAAUAUUUUUUAAAAAUUAUUUUCUUAAAUUAUAUAAAAAUUUAUUAAUAUAGUUGAAGUCAAAGGGACCAGAGAAGUUGUCAUUCUUUCCCUUUUAUGAUGCAAAUUGCAGCCGUUAUAUAUUAUAGGAUAAGUUAAACAUAACACACACUCAUAGAUAGUCAUAUAUACUUAUGAUGUGUUCCUUUUCCUU